rnacentral:rRNA from 1 species
AGAGUUUGAUCCUGGCUCAGGACGAACGCUGGCGGCGUGCUUAACACAUGCAAGUCGAACGGGACAUAUUUGGAGCUUGCUUUGGAUAUGUUUAGUGGCGAACGGGUGAGUAACGCGUGAGCAACCUGCCUUACAGAGGGGGAUAACAGAGGGAAACUUCUGCUAAUACCGCAUAACAUAUCGAUGUCGCAUGGCAAUGAUAUCAAAGAUUUAUCGCUGUAAGAUGGGCUCGCGUA